rnacentral:rRNA from 1 species
CCUACGGGCGGCAGCAGUGGGGAAUAUUGCACAAUGGGGGAAACCCUGAUGCAGCAACGCCGCGUGAGUGAAGAAGUCAUUCGUGAUGUAAAGCUCUAUCAGCAGGGAAGCAAAUGACGGUACCUGACUAAGAAGCCCCGGCUAACUACGUGCCAGCAGCCGCGGUAAUACGUAGGGGGCAAGCGUUAUACGGAUUUAAUGGGGGUAAAGGGAGCGUAGACGGCGACGCAAGUCUGAAGGUAAAUGCCGGGGCUCAACACUGGAACUGCAUUUGAAACUGUGUGGCUAGAGUGCAGGAGAGGUAAGUGGAAUUCCUAGUGUAGCGGUGAAAUGCGUAGAUAUCAGGAGGAACACCAGUGGCGAAGGCGGCGUACUGGACUGUAACUGACGUUGAGGCUCGAAGGCGUGGGGAGCAAACAGGAUUAGAUACCCUAGUAGUC